rnacentral:rRNA from 1 species
UACGUAGGGGGCAAGCGUUGUCCGGAAUUAUUGGGCGUAAAGAGCGCGUAGGCGGUCCGGUAAGUCGGUUGUGAAAGUCGGGGGCUCAACCCUCGGAUGCCGAUCGAUACUGUCGGGCUAGAGUGCGGAAGAGGCGAGUGGAAUUCCUGGUGUAGCGGUGAAAUGCGCAGAUAUCAGGAGGAACACCGAUGGCGAAGGCAGCUCGCUGGGACGGUACUGACGCUGAGGCGCGAAAGCGUGGGGAGCGAACAGG